UCUAGAAAGCCCUGAGAGACUGGAUGUGAAUAGCAAUGUUGAUAAUAUAAAUAACUCAAUACCUGGAAUGAAUUCCUGAGGAAGCUGAGUCCACCAGUGUAUGCUGAAGAGCCUUGGCAUCUCAUUGUGUCCAAUCAAAGGGCUGUGUGUCUGCAGAGACUCCUCCCCUAAUUGGGGCUUUGUUUUUCCCCGCCCCCUGAUUUUGUUCCCAUAAACUUUGUGACAUAUUCAGAAAAGUUGCCAGAGAAACUCCAGAUCAGUUUGAUCAAGAAGUUUUCCCACACUCCAAGAGAGUCUUUUGUCUGAGACCUGUUGAUCGCUACAGGAGCUACAUCUGCCAGGUCUAAAUUGGCUGAAUGGACAGCAGGAUGGAGUGAUCUGCCAAGAGCUCUCCUUGCAGUCUAGAACAACCCUUCUUGGGAAGACCCCCCUGCAGUGUACCUUCAGAAGCCCACAGAGACCCAAGUCUUGCCAGAAUGGAUCUGACUACCAACAAAGGCCUCAACCUGCUGCUCAACUUCCUCCUCAUCGUACUGAUGCUGGUACUGAUGCUCAUUCUAGUGAAGCUACUGUGAUUGGUCAACUGACAACUCAACACUGCCAUCUACCAAUUAUGACUUAGCUAACACAGUAGAACUACCUGCACAGGUUCAAGCACCAAGAAGAAAAUCAGACACACCCAAAGACACUCACUAGUUGAAAUAUCAAGUAGGUUUAUGACUAAACUAAAUGUGGUAAAAAAAUAAAAUAAAAAAGGCCACAAGAAAAAGGCAUGUUUUUUGGUGGUGGAGCAGCAUUUGGGUUUAAAUGGAGCAGAAAGUUGGUGGCUUGGUUUUAUAGCAAACAGUAUAGCUGUUGUCAAGCAAUGGUUUUACAACCACUUUACAAUGAAUAGAGCACUUUUUUCUACAACAGAAUGAGUACACACUGUAUUUAUUCAUACUGCAGUAGAAGACUAUGCAAUCUAUUUGAUUGAUUUGCUAUGGCCAUAUCACAUCAGCAUACUGUAUAAUAGAUACCUGAAUACAAUCAAUUAUACAAUGUUAUGUAACAGCAUCUAUUUGUUAAAAGAAAAAGUCAGCAAAGUGUAAGAGUCUCCAUCUAGUGGCCAGUAGCAGUACAAGCAUAAUUUGGGUUACUGUAUGUGUAAACCCCUUUCAUUAACUUGCCAUUAAAUCAAGCCCUAGACACCAAGAGUUUUAAGAUUUGAGCCGAUGUACAUUUAAAGUUACUGUUACAGCACUGGGAUGGUUGAUGGCAUCUGGUUAUUACCAAGCAUGAUGUGAUAAACAUAAAAAAGUGGUAUUUGUUAAUGUUAACUUGUGAAAAAAAGUGUCUGUCAAUCUUUUACCUGUUGAAUUUAGUUUUGAAGAUUGUUAGUAAUUCAUCCGAGGCUGUUCUUGCUUAGCUGAUUUCUGAAGAAUAAGCAAGACUUGAUGCAGAUCAAAAGGUCCUUUUCACUUUGUCAUUGAACAUGCUGUAUCAUCUAUAUGUGGAUACAGUUACUGAUUGAAAAAAAAAUCUAAAACAAAUUCUUACUGGUUCCUAUUUCCCAGCAGUGGCUUACUUAUCAAACGCUGCGCUGCGGGCAAACAAUGCGAGCACUGCACAGCUAAGAUGAUAAUCGCAGCAGCUGAAUUAACUUUAAGAGACCCCUUCCCCCAAGAGCUCCUGUGCAGGUCUACACACGACGAGAGGCUGAGUCAGUUUGCUUCAUUCAUAACUAACAUGGAAUUGUAACCUGCAGCUCUAGAACACCAAAGAGCCAUCUGAAUUGAUGUCUGUGGUUUGCUAGAGCCACUAGAUGUCAUCAUUACAAAAUAAAUACUGUACACUGCAUGGCUUGCUAAUGGUCAGAGCAGCUCAGCUAGUUUCUGCAUGGAAAGCAGACCACAUCAGACAAUGGGCAGUUCCACUCCUGUAGCACACAAAUCUGAUUUUAAGAUUAGUUGCAAACCCAAUGAACUAAGGACCUGCCCCAUGCUAUUUAAGGGCACCCUACUCUAUUUUUUUUCAGCUUGUUUCCUAUAACUGGACUCGGCAGAUCCCUUUGUAGUGCCUAACACUAAUCUGGAAGCCGUUGCCAGAACAGCUUUUAGCUCUCCAAUUAUCAAAAUCCAGAACCUUAACGAGAUUUUACUAGUUCAUCUGGUAGCUUCAUUCAACAGCACAGAGAUUGUAAAGGACUUAAAAGGCAUUAAAGAUGUUAUGUACAAUGUAACUGCUGUGCAAAAUAGAGUACUUAUUAUAGGUCUGUCAGUUAAAGCUGACCUACUGUAUAAUGGGCCCUAUUGAAAGCCUUUUAUGAAUAUAAAUUGUGUUGGAUAUUCAUGAAAAUGAUUUUGUUUAACCACUUAAGGAAUCCAAUAGUGGUUGUUUUCUUCUUGGAGAACAGCAACGUGAUCUGAUAACUUAAGCCUAGUAUUCCAGGACAGGUCACGUUGCAGGAUUCAUAUAUAUAUAUAUAUAUAUAUAUAUAUAUAUAUAUAUAUAUAGUCACAUGCAGUUUAACAAUCCUUGUUUAAAGACCCUCUACAAGCUAUGCACAGGUUUAUACAGUGUUUGUACAACAAUGUAGAUUAUAUCCCAAUAAUUGCCUUAGCUGUAUCGGUUCCAACCUAUUGGAAGGAAUUACAAUUAGCAAAGGCACCGCUCAGCAACAUCUACUCAGUGUCAGAAAUCAUUAGCAUCUGGCCAUCUCCAAGCAGGACAUUUAACAAGAGAGAUCAACUGAUCUGAUCUUAUUCUUAACUACACUGAUAUGCAGGCCAACUUCAUACAGCUGUUCAUGUUUUAGACAAAAAAAUAUAUAUUUACAGCUGGGUCAACUAACAAUAUAUAAGACUUAGAUUGGGCUUGCCUUUAGCACCAAUAGUAUUUAACAACUAGCCAACUGACAUCAUAAUCACAGAGCUAAAUGAGCCUUUGAUAUAUAUUAACUUAGAAACAUUUAUCACUCAAGUGAAGAAACACUUGAGUCUGAGGGCUACCAUGUAGUUAAUGAGGCAACAAAAAGAAUGAACAACUGGACAAGCUUCUGUAAAGAGGCUCAUGGAUCUCCACCCACAAGAUAUUUAAAGGCUUAAAUAACUCUUAGAUGGUCACUAGUGGUAGAAAAAAAUUUAAUUGGGUAUUAAGCAACCCUCUGUAGGUAAGCAAGAAUAUUCCUGCAAUCAGCAGCAGGUGGCAGUAUGACCAGCGUGUGUCACAUAUUACUCUCUGCAUGUUUAGCAUGUAAACACCGCUCACCUGACAAUGUCGUUCAGAACAGGAGUGCAUUACAGGCUAAUUUAUCAAUUUUGCACUUUGUUUCAGCUUUUAAUUGUUUGUUUUUUUAAAUGGUAAAAUUUACAGCUUUAAUGCCAAAGAUUCAAAUGGAACCCUAUAAACAAUACAGAAAUGCUUCUACAGCUUGGGGUUUUUGUAAUUUCUUUGUAUACACUAUCUACUAACACUGCAUUCUAAAACAAGUCAUUCAUAUUUCUAAUUGCUGUAUACUAGGCAGCUUGUCACCACUUACUUUUAAUACAAUGUUCAACAAAACUUUUUCUGUUACAUUAAACCAUUUUAGUAGAAUGUUUAA